rnacentral:lncRNA from 1 species
GGGGUUCUCGAGCUCGUCAUGAGCUUGACAUGUCAUUUCGUAGGUCAUUAGAGACCCAAUGAGUUCUUCAAGAGGGAAUGUUUUAAGGUCUUUGGCCUCUUGAAUGGCAGUUACUUUUGGAUCCCAACUUUUAGGGAGGGAUCUUAAGAUUUUAGUUACUAGUUCAAAGUUAGUAAAAUCUUUACCAAGAGCUUUGAGUCCAUUGAUGACAUCCGUGAACCGGGUGUACAUGUCUCCGAUGGACUCACUUGGUUUCAUUCGGAAAAGUUCGUAAGAGUGCACAAGGAUGUUGAUUUUGGACUCUUUCACUCGGCUAUUGCCUUC